GAUGAACGCUGGCUACAGGCUUAACACAUGCAAGUCGAGGGGAAACGCCGGGGAAGCUUGCUUCCCCGGGCGUCGACCGGCGCACGGGUGAGUAACGCGUAUCCAACCUGCCUCUGACUGAGGGAUAACCCGUCGAAAGUCGGCCUAAUACCUCAUGGCAUCGUCUGCGGGCAUCCAACGACGAUUAAAGAUUUCAUCGGUCAGAGAUGGGGAUGCGUCUGAUUAGCUUGUUGGCGGGGUAACGGCCCACCAAGGCGACGAUCAGUAGGGGUUCUGAGAGGAAGGUCCCCCACAGUGGAACUGAGACACGGUCCAAACUCCUACGGGAGGCAGCAGUGAGGAAUAUUGGUCAAUGGGCGAGAGCCUGAACCAGCCAAGUAGCGUGCAGGAUGACGGCCCUAUGGGUUGUAAACUGCUUUUAGGCGGGGAUAAAGUGAGGGACGUGUCCUUCAUUGCAGGUACCGCAUGAAUAAGGACCGGCUAAUUCCGUG
rnacentral:rRNA from 1 species